rnacentral:rRNA from 1 species
GGUUAAGCGACUAAGCGUACACGGUGGAUGCCCUGGCAGUCAGAGGCGAUGAAGGACGUGCUAAUCUGCGAAAAGCGUCGGUAAGGUGAUAUGAACCGUUAUAACCGGCGAUGUCCGAAUGGGGAAACCCAGUGUGUUUCGACACACUAUCAUUAACUGAAUCCAUAGGUUAAUGAGGCGAACCGGGGGAACUGAAACAUCUAAGUACCCCGAGGAAAAGAAAUCAACCGAGAUUCCCCCAGUAGCGGCGAGCGAACGGGGAGGAGCCCAGAGCCUGAAUCAGUGUGUGUGUUAGUGGAAGCGUCUGGAAAGGCGCGCGAUACAGGGUGACAGCCCCGUACACAAAAAUGCACAUGCUGUGAGCUCGAUGAGUAGGGCGGGACACGUGGUAUCCUGUCUGAAUAUGGGGGGACCAUCCUCCAAGGCUAAAUACUCCUGACUGACCGAUAGUGAACCAGUACCGUGAGGGAAAGGCGAAAAGAACCCCGGCGAGGGGAGUGAAAAAGAACCUGAAACCGUGUACGUACAAGCAGUGGGAGCCCUGAUUUAUCAGGGUGACUGCGUACCUUUUGUAUAAUGGGUCAGCGACUUAUAUUCUGUAGCAAGGUUAACCGAAUAGGGGAGCCGGAGGGAAACCGAGUCUUAACUGGGCGUUAAGUUGCAGGGUAUAGACCCGAAACCCGGUGAUCUAGCCAUGGGCAGGUUGAAGGUUGGGUAACACUAACUGGAGGACCGAACCGACUAAUGUUGAAAAAUUAGCGGAUGACUUGUGGCUGGGGGUGAAAGGCCAAUCAAACCGGGAGAUAGCUGGUUCUCCCCGAAAGCUAUUUAGGUAGCGCCUCGUGAAUUCAUCUCCGGGGGUAGAGCACUGUUUCGGCAAGGGGGUCAUCCCGACUUACCAACCCGAUGCAAACUGCGAAUACCGGAGAAUGUUAUCACGGGAGACACACGGCGGGUGCUAACGUCCGUCGUGAAGAGGGAAACAACCCAGACCGCCAGCUAAGGUCCCAAAGUCAUGGUUAAGUGGGAAACGAUGUGGGAAGGCCCAGACAGCCAGGAUGUUGGCUUAGAAGCAGCCAUCAUUUAAAGAAAGCGUAAUAGCUCACUGGUCGAGUCGGCCUGCGCGGAAGAUGUAACGGGGCUAAACCAUGCACCGAAGCUGCGGCAGCGACACUGUGUGUUGUUGGGUA